AUGAUAAACAGGCAUCUCUGGCCAGGGGUCUGGGAGCAGAGCCACUUGGUUCCCAGGGCGGGUUUCUUGUUUCCCUGCAGGCAGGUGUUGGCAGGGAUAACGCAGAAGCCUUUGUCCCCUCUGGUCAUUCCACAGCUUGGAUUCUGUCUCUGGCCAGGUCCCAGAGAUGCCGGCUGCUUUCCUCCGGCGGAAGAAGCUGCUCUUUCUGUGUGCAGAUGGUCCCGUUGCAGGACACCUCGGUCACUGGAGAGCAGGCUGGCAGGAGAGUUCCCCUUCCCCAGAGCAGGACGGUGGCUGGGUGGAAAUGACCUUGAGAUCAGGUGGGAGGAAUGGGGCCUAACUGGCCACUCGGUGACCCUGAGAAGAGGGCAGGAAAGCACGUUGACUCUGACUCGCUGCAGGGAAGAGUUAAAACACGGAGGCGAAGUUGUUUACCCGGAGAGGGACCAUGGAGGGUGGGGACAGGUGAGUCCUGUGCAGUGCUAAGUGCUCGUGCCCGGUCUGAGUGAGUGAAGCCCAGGUGCGCCCGUCAUUUGGGGGUCUCUGUCGAAGAGAGACCUGAGUCCCCUGGCCACCCUGAUUUUAAGCUGUUUCUGUGUCUAUUUCUCAUCUUUGUCACACCUUGGUCAGGUUUGAGCUGAGCCAGUCGGCUGGUUCCUACCGGUGGUGUCCGAAAGGACCUGGUCAAGGAAGUACACCCGAGGAGAGAAAAGCCUGGAGACUCAGUGACCGGGACUGCCGCAGCGGAGAGGCGCUGGCCAGCGAAAGAAAGCGACAGAUGGCACAAAGAAAGCAUAAUGUGAAAUAGGAAGAAAAGGUCCACAGGGGAAGUAGGCAAAGAAAAGAUGAGGAAAGAAGGAAAACAUGGAAACAAAGCUUUGGUAAAUAGGGAGGGGUGAAAGCGAGGGAAGUGGAAUGGGAAAAACAAGAACCAAGGUAAAUACAGAGUCAGUCAUAUCAUAUACCUGCCAUGUAUAUCACGUACGAGUUCCCAACAGUGAAUGUGAUCGUAAUGUGAACUCAAUAAAAACUGAGAGAAAAGGAACGUGUGGGCAGUGUCGCAGCGCUUGCUUAUCAAAGAUCUGUCAGACAGGCUGUGCUUCGUGGAGAACCUGUGGGGUAUGUGCAUUUCCAAUUGCUAUUCCUCUUGACCCUCACAAGCCACA
rnacentral:lncRNA from 1 species